rnacentral:rRNA from 1 species
AAUAUUGCACAAUGGGCGGAAGCCUGAUGCAGCGACGCCGCGUGAGGGAUGACGGCCUUCGGGUUGUAAACCUCUUUCAGCAGGGACGAAGCGUAAGUGACGGUACCUGCAGAAGAAGCACCGGCUAACUAUGUGCCAGCAGCCGCGGUAAUACGUAGGGUGCGAGCGUUGUCCGGAAUUACUGGGCGUAAAGAGCUCGUAGGCGGUUUGUCACGUCGUCUGUGAAAUCCUAGGGCUUAACCCUGGACGUGCAGGCGAUACGGGCUGACUUGAGUACUACAGGGGAGACUGGAAUUUCUGGUGUAGCGGUGGAAUGCACAGAUAUCAGGAAGAACACCGAUGGCGAAGGCAGGUCUCUGGGUAGUAACUGACGCUGAGGAGCGAAAGCAUGGGUAGCGAACAGGAUUAGAUACCCUGGUAGUCCAUGCCGUAAACGGUGGGCGCUAGGUGUGGGGUUCCUUCCACGGGCUCCGCGCCGUAGCUAACGCAUUAAGCGCCCCGCCUGGGGAGUACGGCCGCAAGGCUAAAACUCAAAGAAAUUGACGGGGGCCCGCACAAGCGGCGGAGCAUGUGGAUUAAUUCGAUGCAACGCGAAGAACCUUACCUGGGCUUGACAUAUAGAGGAUCGCUACAGAGAUGUGGUUUCCCUUGUGGCUUCUAUACAGGUGGUGCAUGGUUGUCGUCAGCUCGUGUCGUGAGAUGUUGGGUUAAGUCCCGCAACGAGCGCAACCCUUGUCUU